GCCGUGGUAGCUUAGUGGUUAAGAGUUUGGUUGCUAUACAAAAGGUCAGUAGUUUGAAUCUACCAGCUGCU
rnacentral:tRNA from 1 species